UGAAAGCCUCCCAAGCCCGGGUACGACGCAAACGCUGGUACCUCAGGUGCCAAGGAACAGCAACAGAGCGGGAGCGCCUAACGCCAAUUGCACCCGAAAUGACUCUCAACAACGGAUAUCUCAGCUCUCGCAUCGAUGAAGAACGUAGGGAAAUGCAAUACUUGGUGUGAAUUGCAAAAUCCCGUGAACUAUCGAGUCUUUGAAUGCAAGUUGCGCCCAAAGCCAUUAGGCCGAGGGCACGCCUGCUUGGGCGUCACGCAAGGUCGCCGCCACCCCACGCGGGGCACGGCGAAUGAUGGCCUCCCGAGGCCUCUAUCCCCCAGCUGGCCGAAAUAACUGCCUAGCGCAAUGGCGGCCAUGAUCCACGGAGAAGUUCGAGACCGAACGUGAUCGCACAAUCCCAUGGGGAGGGUCGGACCCCGAAUCCCUCCGCGACCCUAGGUCAGGCGG
rnacentral:misc_RNA from 1 species